AAAAAUGUUAUUAAUAUUACUUAAAAAGAUAACAACCACCACAACUAUCCAAUACUACUUCACAGGGACUCAAUUACUGUUAAUUCAAAAUCAUUGUUAGGAUUUAUAUAUACAAUAAAUUUCAAAGUGACAUAAUUCCUGUAAAAAAAUUGAUAACAUAGAUUUUAUUUCUUAAAACAUUAUGAUAUAAAGUUUCUGGUAAGAGUUCCACGGAACCCAGUGUCUUGCCUACUUCUGCUGUUAGUCACAGGCUCAACAAAAAUGAGGAUAUAAAUGUUCAUCUAGAUCAUCUUUGAUUGUAAGAAGCGUCUGCCUAGUUUGGGUAAAAUCCUGGUAGUUUAUGAAUCUGAGAAUAUUUUUAAAAACGUUAACCACAGAGUGAAUGUAAUGUUUUCUAGCAGAAAAAAAUUAGUCCAUUUAUAAGUAAAAUACGGAAAAACAGGAUUUUUUUUAACAAAAUUUACUUCUGGAUACUAUCUUAUAAUCAUUAGCAAGCUUCUGUCCAAGUUUAGUAGAAAUCUAGGAUAGUUUUAGAAAGUUAUUAAAAUUUCAAUAACUUUAACCAACGAUUGAAUAUUUGUGAACAGCGCUGCUGGAAUGUAGGAUCACUAUGUCUCGCUUUUUCAACAAAGGUCGAAGGCUCGAUAAAAAUCUAGCAAGAAUGUAGACUUGGGAGCAAUCAAAAUGCAAUUUUUCAUAGAAUUACAUUUUUCAGGGAUAUAUUUAAAGCAAGAAUAAUUUAUCAAUUCUGUAUUUUGAAAUUUUGUGCAAGACAUUGCUGAUAUAAACCUUUGGUAUAAAUUUCAUUAAACUCACUGUAGCAAGCAGCAUUUGUAUGAGAUCUCUUAGAAGACAUGUCAAACUGACAGAUGGAAGGACAUUAGGUAUAUCUAUAACCUACACCAAAUUGCUGCAAGGGACUAUGAUUUGCAUUGGACCUCAAUGAAGUUAAUAGCAUUGCAUUCUGAAGUACUGUAAAUUCAGAAAUUAUUACAUGCAUUCAUUAUUGCUAUUUUAUCAUUUUUAAAAAGACUAAAAGAAAAUUAAA
rnacentral:lncRNA from 1 species